GCCUGGGUGGCUCAGUCAGUUGAGCGUCUGACUUCAGCUCAGGUCAUGCUCUCACAGCUGGUGGGUUUGAGCCCCACAUUGGGCU
rnacentral:tRNA from 1 species